GCCUGCGUAGCAUAGUGGUUAUUGCGUUCGCCUUGUAAGCGAAAGGUCGGCGGUUCGACUCCGCUCGUAGGCA
rfam:Tritrichomonas foetus strain K scaffold_702, whole genome shotgun sequence.